rnacentral:rRNA from 1 species
UACGUAGGGUGCGAGCGUUGUCCGGAAUUAUUGGGCGUAAAGAGCUCGUAGGCGGCUUGUCGCGUCGUCCGUGAAAACCUGCAGCUCAACUGCAGGCUUGCGGUCGAUACGGGCAGGCUCGAGUUCGGUAGGGGAGACUGGAAUUCCUGGUGUAGCGGUGGAAUGCGCAGAUAUCAGGAGGAACACCUAUAGCGAAGGCAGCUUGCUGGGACGUUACUGACGCUAAGGCGCGAAAGCGUGGGGAGCGAACAGG